GUAGUCAAUGAUAGGGGGUGAUUGGCAUCAGGAGGCCAAUGAAUAUGUCAAUGGUAGCACCCAGCAUGGGGGCACCCAUGGGUGGGGGCACCCAUAGGUAGGGGGGUAGUCAAUGGGUGUGGGUCACUAUGGGGUAGUCAAUGGUAGGGGUUGAUUGGCAUCCGGAGGCCACUGAAUGUGUCAGUGGUAGCACCCAUGGGUGGGGGGCACCCAUAGGUAAGGGGGUAGUCAGUGGGUGGGGGUCACUAUGGGGUAGUCAAUGGUAAGGGAUGAUUGGUAACAGGAGGCCAUUGACUGUGUCAAUGGUGACACCCAGCAUGGGGGCACCCAUAGGUGGGGGGCACCCAUAGGUAGAGGGGUAGUCAGUGGGUAUGGGUCACUAUGGGGUAGUCAAUGGUAGGGGGUGAUUGGCGUCAGGAGGCCAUUGACGACAUCAGUGGUGGCACCCAUGGG